CAAGUACUCUCUUCGUUUGAAAAUACUUGUCGUAAAAAUGUAUAAAAAUGAAUGUAUUUAAAAUUAAAAUAUGCCUAGAUACAUCCAUUCCUCCGACAAAUAUUUUCAGACGGAGGAAGUACGUG
rfam:Triticum aestivum genome assembly, contig: Triticum_aestivum_CS42_TGACv1_scaffold_404259_5BL